GGAGUAUCUCUCUAUCUAAUAGAGGUUUGGUUGCCCGGGGAGUGCCCCGGCGACUGUGAUUCUUCCGUGGUAGCACUUAUAGAAGCCUUUGCGGCCCCGCCAGGGGUUCCUGCCGCGACUCAAAAAAAUGGUAGCCCACGCAAGUCAGCAAUGGCAACAUGAUCGAAUUGCGGGAAGCCCUAAAGCCUUCGAGUACCAACUACCGGUAGAAAUGCCGAUAGGGCCCAUGUUAACCCCAUGGGAGGUAAAAAUCUUGAAAGGAUAACGCAAUGGGUAAUCCGCAGCGAAGCCCCUAAGGCCCCCGCGGCUAUGGGGAACGUUCACAGACUAAGUGGUUAUGGGCUAUGCUACAUAGCUUAAGAUAUAGUCGGGUCCCCAAGGAGACUUGGGGGAUAGUUAUAACAAACCGUUCCGUAGGUGAACCUGCGGAAGGAUCAUUACAGAGUUCAUGCCCUCACGGGUAGAUCUCCCACCCUUGUGUAUUCUAUAACAGUUGCUUUAGCGGGCCACGGGCCUGCCCGUGACCCGCUAGAGGACCCCAAACUCUGAACUUUAGUGUCGUCUGAGUACUAUAUAAUAGUUAAAACUUUCAACAACGGAUCUCUUGGUUCUGGCAUCGAUGAAGAACGCAGCGAAAUGCGAUAAGUAAUGUGAAUUGCAGAAUUCAGUGAAUCAUCGAAUCUUUGAACGCACAUUGCGCCCCCUGGUAUUCCGGGGGGCAUGCCUGUUCGAGCGUCAUUUAAACCACAUCUAGCUCUGCUAGGUCUUGGGCCACGCUACCCGGCGGGCCUUAAAACCAGUGGCGGUGCCGCCAGGCUCUAAGCGUAGUAAUUCUCUCGCUAUAGGCCCUGGCGGAUGCUUGCCAGCAACCCCAAAUUUUUCAGGUGACCUCGGAUCAGG
rnacentral:sRNA from 1 species